rnacentral:lncRNA from 1 species
AUUUGGGCAAGGCCCCACUUGCUCCCAGAAGCCCAGCAGGGAGAGCUUCAUAGGCCAUGGAGACAGACCCAGCUGAGGAGCAGCUGCAGGGACUCCAGGAGAACGCAGCCAUGGCUUGGGGACUGCAGUACGGCAGGAAGGGUGGGAUGGAUGCCUCCUCUCGGGGCACCUCACAGGACAGAUGAGAAUGAGGGCCAGCGGGUGAGGUACCCCAGGUACCAGACAAGGAAACCAAAGCCACAAUGGGCACAGAAAACACACCUGGAGGCAAAGCCAGCCCAGACCCUCAGGACGUGCGGCCAAGUGUGUUCCAUAACAUCAAGCUGUUCGUUCUGUGCCACAGCCUGCUGCAGCUGGCGCAGCUCAUGAUCUC